rnacentral:rRNA from 1 species
UGAGGAAUAUUGCACAAUGGGCGCAAGCCUGAUGCAGCGACGCCGCGUGUGGGAUGAAGGGGCUACGCCUCGUAAACCACUGUAGCCCGGGACGAAAAACGCCUUAGAGGCGUUAGACGGGACCGGGAAAGUAAGGGUCGGCUAACUACGUGCCAGCAGCCGCGGUAAUACGUAGGACCCAAGCGUUGUCCGGAUUUACUGGGUGUAAAGGGUGCGCAGGCGGAUGGGUAAGUCAGAGGUGAAAGUCUGCAGCUUAACUGUAGAAUUGCCUUUGAUACUGCUCAUCUUGAGUGUUGGAGAGGUUGAUUGAAUUCCCGGUGUCGCAGUCAAAUGCGUAGAUAUCUGGAAGAACACCAGUGGCGAAGGCGGUCAACUGGCCCAUAACUGACGCUCAUGCACGAAAGCGUGGGGAGCAAACA